GAAAAGAAACCAACAGGGAUUGCCUUAGUAACGGCGAGUGAAGCGGCAAAAGCUCAAAUUUGAAAUCGGCCAGCAGGUCGAGUUGUAAUUUGUAGAUUGUACUUUGAGAGCGGAUUAAAGUCUGUUGGAACACAGCGCCUUAGAGGGUGACAGCCCCGUAAAAUCUAUUCUCAUUGUAAAGUACAUUCGAAGAGUCGAGUUGUUUGGGAAUGCAGCUCUAAGUGGGAGGUAAAUUCCUUCUAAAGCUAAAUAUUGACGAGAGACCGAUAGCGAACAAGUACUGUGAAGGAAAGAUGAAAAGCACUUUGAAAAGAGAGUGAAAAAGUACGUGAAAUUGUUAAAAGGGAAGGGUAUUGAAUCAGACGUGGUGCUGUUGUUCAACUUUGUUUCGGCAUGGUGUACUCAGCAGUACUAGGCCAAGGUGGGGUGUUUGGGAGUGAAAAAGAAGCCGGAAUGUAGCUCUUCGGAGUGUUAUAACCAGAUUUCAUAACUCCUCAGGCGCCUCAGGACUGCGCUUCGGCAAGGACUUUGGCAUAAUGAUUCUAUACCGCCCGUCUU
rnacentral:rRNA from 1 species